rnacentral:tRNA from 1 species
GGACGAUUAGCUCAGUUGGUUAGAGCGCUUCGUUUACAUCGAAGAGGCCGCAGGUUCGAGCCCUGCAUCGUCCA